rnacentral:sRNA from 1 species
CUCUUCCCAAAAGGAUUUAGAAUGUGUUCACCAUCAUGAGCUGACCAACAAUUUCUAAAUUCCUACUCAGAAACACAGCAAGGGGAAUGCAGUCAAGCACAAAGGGCUAAAUGACCAGGUAAGGCUGGGCUGGAUGAAUAAAGAGGAAUAUCCCAUGAAUGUGACUGUGUAGUUUUAGAGUAUCCUGAUUCAACUGUUAUAUUUGACUUGUGGCCUUGUAGACAGUGUAUUAAUAUCAGAUCUUCUUUUUCAGAACUGUUUUAAUCAUGGACAAACAAAACCCACAGAUGAAUGCUUCUCACCCGGAAACAAACUUGCCAGUUGGGUAUCCUCCUCAGUAUCCACCAACAGCAUUCCAAGAUAGAUCAGAUAUUGAUUCAUCAGCAAAUUGAACUUCUGGAAGGUACGUAUUCAUUGUUUUAAUCCUGUUUCUGUAAAGAGUAGAAGUUUAUGCAGAUAAAGGCACAUCGACCUCCACA